GUGAUGUUACCUGCAGAAUAAGCACCGGCUAAUUCCGUGCCAGCAGCCGCGGUAAUACGGAAGGUGCAAGCGUUAAUCGGAAUUACUGGGCGUAAAGCGCGCGUAGGUGGUUUGUUAAGUUGGAUGUGAAAGCCCUGGGCUCAACCUAGGAACUGCAUCCAAAACUAACUCACUAGAGUACGAUAGAGGGAGGUAGAAUUCAUAGUGUAGCGGUGGAAUGCGUAGAUAUUAUGAAGAAUACCAGUGGCGAAGGCGGCCUCCUGGAUCUGUACUGACACUAAGGUGCGAAAGCGUGGGUAGCGAACAGGAUUAGAUACCCUGGUAGUCCACGCCGUAAACGAUGACAACUAGCUGUUGGGAGACAAUGUCUUUCAGUGGCGCAGCUAACGUUUUAAGUUGUCCGCCUGGGGAGUACGGCCGCAAGGCUAAAACUCAAAUGAAUUGACGGGGACCCGCACAAGCGGUGGAGCAUGUGGUUUAAUUCGAUGCAACGCGAAAAACCUUACCUACUCUUGACAUACUUGGAAGCUCUUGUAAUGAGAGUGUGCCUUUUGGAGCCAAGAUACAGGUGCUGCAUGGCUGUCGUCAGCUCGUGUCGUGAGAUGUUCCGUUAAGUCGGAUAACGAGCGCAACCCUUACCCUUAUUUGCCAGCGAUUCGGUCGGGAACUAUAAGGGGACUGCCGGUGAUAAACCGGAGGAAGGUGAGGACGACGUCAAGUCAUCAUGGCCCUUACGAGUAGGGCUACACACGUGCUACAAUGGGGAAUACAGACGGACGCUAAGCCGCGAGGUGGUGCUAAUCCUAGAAAGUUUCUCGUAGUCCGGAUUGGAGUCUGCAACUCGACUCCAUGAAGUCGGAAUCGCUAGUAAUCGCGAAUCAGCAUGU
rnacentral:rRNA from 1 species